GGCGAGCCGGAAGCGGCGCCCCGUUCCCCGCCGCCGCCGGGACCCGCCGGGCUCGGGACAGGUCUGUCUUGGACACUUAUCUUUGCAGCCUGGUCUACCUGCUCUUUGUGUUGGUGCUCCUCAUUGGCUCUGCUCUUGGGGACAUGGGCAUCCACAUGGCAGACCUUCACAGGUAGCUUCUUUACUCUGGUAGCAAUGUCUUUCUACUCAUCAGCAGCUCAAAUUGGUUUUCUUCUAUGUUGCUAGUUAGCUUCUUUCCACCUCUCUAACUAUCUUCACAGAGCAUUGGCUACUAUCUAUGAAUCAGUGCAGAGGUAGAGCUUUGGCUACUUCUCUCUCUCAGCAAUACCUAGGGCCAGUUGAACAGCUUUCAGUUCAGCAAGUUGGCUCGAUCUACUUUCUUUUUCAGUGGCCUCUGCAGCCUGUUGUGUGGGGCUCUGUACGGCUGCUUUCCUCUUUUGUUAUAUUCUUACAAAUGCAACAAGAACCAUCAGUGCACAGAGCACAGUGUGUUUCUUCUGCUGGCAGUUGAUUGUAUGGUGGAGCUUCUUCAGCACGUGUUACUUCUUGUUCUUCUUCAUCAGCAAGACUAUAGUUUUUACUUUCUGGCUAGUUUUUUAAUUAUUUCUAGAAUCUCAGGGUGAUUCAGUUUUCUAAUAUGGGCGCGCUGUGUGAUCAGAGCAAUCCAUUUGCUCCAUGUAGCACUGGUGGCAUGGUUAGUAGAGGGAACUUUUGCUUUGAGCAUCUACUCUAGUACUGGUAGUCGGGGUGCCAGGAGGAGUUGUGCUUCAGUGCUUAUUACUUCUGAGGCAGCUUGGACUCUUUCAUAGGCUGCUAAAAUUUCUUUCUCUGUUGGGGUAUAGUUGGCUUCAGACCCACUGUAGCUUCGACUCUAAAAUUUUAGUGGUCGGCUUCGAGUCUCUUCAGGCACUUUCUGCUAAAGGCUCCUGGACAAACUGUGGUUCUUGGCUGCAGAGCAGAGCACGUUCUUUAUUUCUGGUCUCAUCUUGACCGGGCCAAGGGCAACCUCAUGAGCGAUCUCCUGCUUGAUCUGGGUGAAGGCUUGUUGCUGCUCAGGGCCCAGCAAAAUGUUCUUCUUACGGGUGACCAGGUGGAAAGGGCUCACAAUCUGACUGUACUCAGGAAUGUGCAUUCUCCAAAAGCCUAUGGCACUUAGGAAAGCUUGUGUUUCUUUCUUGCUGGAUGGUGGAGAUAUACCUGUGAUCUUGUUGAUCACAUCAGUGAGAAUCUGAUGCUGUCUGUCUUGCUACUUCACUCUCAGAAACUGGAUCUCUGGAGCAGGUUUUUUGACUUUGCUCUUCUUGAUGGCGAAGCUGGCUUUCAGGAGAAUCUGGAUAAUUUUCUUUCUUUUCUCAAACACUUCUGCUGCCGUCUUCUUCUACACAAUGAUGUCAUCAAUGUAUUGCAGAUGUUCUGGAGCCUGACUCUUUUCCAGUGCAGUCUGGAUCAGUCCAUGGCAGAUGGUGGGACUGUGUUUCCACCCCUGGGGCAGUCGGUUCCAGGUGUGUUGCACUCCCCUCCAGGUGAAAGCAAACUGAGGCCUGCAUUCUGCUGCCAGAGGAAUGGAGAAAAACGCGUUAGCAAUGUCAGCAGUGGUGUACCACUUUGCUGCCUUGGAUCCAGCUCGUACUGGAGUUCCAGCACGUCCGGCACAGCAGCGCUCAGCGGUGGAGUCACUUCAUUCAAUGCCUGGUAGUCCACAGUCAAUCUCCAUUCUCCUUCAGAUUUACGCACAGGCCAAAUGGGGCUGUUGAAGGGUGAGUGGGUGUUGCUGACCACCCCUUGUCUCUCCAGCUCAUGGAUCAUUUUGUGGAUGGGGAUCACGGCAUCUCAAUUCGUCCGAUACUGCUGAUGGUGCCCUGCCAAGGUGGCAAUCGGUACUCGUUGCUUUUCUACUUUCAGGAGUCCUACUGCAGAUGGGUUUUCUGACAGUCCAGGCAAGGUGCUCAAUUGCUUGAUGCCUUCUGUCUCUACAGCAGCUAUUUUAAAUGCUUAUCUGAGUCUCUGGGUCUUUGAAAUACCCACUUCAGAGGAAGUCUAUGCUUAAAAUGCAUGGGGUCUCUGGGCCAGUCACAAUAGGGGGAUUCUUCUACUCAUUUCCAGUCAGGCUCACUUAAGCUUCUACCAUAGUGAAAUCCUGGGAUCCCCCCCUGUCACACUAGCAAUAGAAACAGAUUCUGUCUUUACAUGUCUCAAUGGGAUUAAUGUGCACUGCGCACCAGUGUUGACUAAAGCUUUGUAUUCUUGUGGUUCAGAUGUGCCAGGCCAACGGAUCCACACAGUCUAAAAAACACGAUUUUCCCUAGCCUCUACCUGGCUAGAGGCAGGGCCCCUCUAAGCCUAUAACCAGGCUUAUCUUUCUUUCAGUGGGCAUAUGUCUUGGAGGUUCUUUCAAGGGCAUCAAAAAUAUUGUCAUUAUCAUCCUAUAUGACAGUUCAGUUACUGGCCACUGGAGCUGCUUCUCUUUUGGAAUUUCUUCUCUGAGUCCUCAGUUCACGCACCCGUUGUGCCAGUGCAGCAGUAGGUUUUCCAUCCCAUCUCCUCAUGUUUUCUUCACAAUCACGCAGGAAGAACCACAGCUCAGCUCAUGGGGUGUACGUUCUCUCUCCAUCUGGGGAACGUCUGUUUUGGGUACCAGAACCUCUGAUCUGUACUGCUGAGAUUUGGAGAAGGUCUUCCUUAAUCGCCUCUCUGAGCUUCUUGUGAUUCUCCUGUAUCUUAUCCUCUAAUUUCUGCAGACGUGUUUCCACUGCUGUGAUCCUGGCACGUGUUGGGCCAUGCACAGCGUCUGCAUAUGCUCGGAGCUUCUUCGCCAUAUCCAGCACGGUCUCAUCCCUCUCAUCCCGCUUCAUUAUGGCUAAGGCAGAAGCAUAUUCAUGUGGCCCGAGUUGUACAAGUUUUCUCCACAUUACAGAUGUGCAUGGUACCAAGUCUGGAUUUACAGUGUUUACAUCAUCUGAGAAGAUAAUCUCUGCCACUGCCAUUUCCCUCAGGCGUUGGAUCCCUUGCUCUAUGGUCUUCCACUGUGUUUGCUGCAUAUAGAGAUCACCUGCACACAGGUAUCUUUGUGCUACACUUCCCAAGACCCGUGCACAGAGGCUGAGUGGAUUAACCCCCCUCAUCAUUCCAUGGUCAAUGACAGGAUCAUGUGACAGGGAUCCCAAAUGCCUGGAUUCAGUGCCAUCCAGAAUUUUGGCCUCGCCUGCAGCAUCCCAGAGACGGACUAACCAACUAAUUAUGGAUUCAUCAGGUUGCUGGGUGUAAUCCUUCCUUAGGCCACUGAGGUCCUUCAGGGAAAAGGACUCCAUAUUGGCUUCUGAUCUGGCACCUGCUGCUUUGACUCCUGAUUUUACAUCAAGAGGCGCUGAGGGUCCUUCUCCUGCAUCAUCAUCAUCAUCAUCAUCCACAGGUUGAUUGGUCUUGUCCAUGCAUUUCCCACUUCUAGUGCUGGUAGCAACAGCCAUUGGUUUAGCUGCUGGCUUAGGCUCAGGCUCACUAUCUAGCUUGGCUGCUUUGUCUCCCUGCCCCUCUGCUGUAAAAGCUAUGUAUUAGGGACACUACAAGAGCUAUUUCUGGAUAAGAAAAUAAACCAAGGGACCAUA